rnacentral:misc_RNA from 1 species
GAAAUGCGAUAAGUAAUGUGAAUUGCAGAAUUCAGUGAAUCAUCGAAUCUUUGAACGCACAUUGCGCCCGCCAGUAUUCUGGCGGGCAUGCCUGUUCGAGCGUCAUUUCAACCAUCAAGCCCCGCGCUUGUGUUGGGGACCUGCGGCUGCCGCAGGCCCUGAAAACCAGUGGCGGGCUCGCUGUCACACCGAGCGUAGUAGAUUUCUCAUCUCGCUCAGGGCGUGCUGCGGGUCCCGGCCGUAAAAAAGCCUUAUUUUACCCAAGGUUGACCUCGGAUCAGGUAGGAAGACCCGCUGAACUUAAGC